ensembl:lncRNA
AAAACGGCUGCAGAUUUUCCAGCUGGCUACAGAAAGCAGAGCACUGCCACCAGGCCAAGUCCCAACUUUGGCCCUCAUCCUAGAUGGACGAGGAGCAGAACGCUUGGCUAGUGGCCUGAGGUCUGUGGCCUCCUCUGCAUGAGCUGGGAAGAGGAGGAGCAGUCUCCAAGGUACUUGAGAACUCGCAGCCUUGGGACCUAAGGAGAUGGAGAGGGGGAGUGCAGUUCAGAUCCCCCACGGGGGCUCAGUGCUGUGCCCUCGGCCAAGGUGAGAGGGGCGAGCCUUGCUUGGUGCUGCUCUGAGCUCAAGAUGGAAGCGGCUCACAACCCAUGGCAGCUCUGGAUUGGGGUCACCGCCCCCCGGUGCCCUUUGCUGAAGGUUUUGGGAGGUGGGGGACAUCAGGCCCCUUGGUGCUGGCCUCCCUUGUCCUCUGGUGUGGGGGAAGCCAGCAGAGCCCUGCUCCAGACACGCGGCUUAGCCCCAGAGCCACAGCCACUGCUGCAUCAAGUCAGUUGUCAGAAGCCUUCCAGCCGGACGCUGUCUGGAGACCUUCCAGCGACCACAGGCUCUCCCCCAGCCCAUCACUGCCACAGCACAGACAGGAUUUAAUGGAUGUCUGCGUGUUCUCCUAACCUUUCCCCUCUCUAGAUGAAGCAGGGAAUAAAAAUAAGCCCGCAGGUUUGUGAGGACCCCCAGCCCAGACGGCGAUGACCACAACUCUUCUGGACCAGAGUGGAAUGGGCCAUCUCCAGGUGUGGAGCUCCCACUCACACAGCACUGCUCAGCGAAAGCAGUGCCACCCCACAGCAGCUCCUCGCAGAUGUUCCUCUUGGCUUGAGGUGCCAUUUUGGGGUUUUUCUUUGCUCCCUUCUGCCUCUCAACUCUCAGACAACUGCGCGAGGGAAGAGAGAAACUGGUUCAAUUUCCACCUCCCCUCACAGUGCCCCACUGCUUAUUAGUUCUCCAAAUAUUUCGUCCUGCAGCCCAGCAGCAAGGGCUCUAUGCUAACCCGAUCCCAGGCAGAGGGGAAGUGGGAGCGGGUAGGACAGCACGUUAUCCUCGUGGCACUGCUGCAGACCAGGCUGCGUGGAGCGGGAUGGCGCAUCCUCCCAUCCCAGCAAUUGCUUCCAUGUAUACCUCUGCUCUCCUCACUUGUGGCUGGGAUGGGGACGGGCUGUGUGUCACCUCGUCCCCAGGAGCCCUCACUGGGUGUGCAGAAUGGCUCCUGGGGAGAUUACGUGGAGGAAGAGGAGGAGGAGGAGAGCUGGCUGUGGGAUGCUGGUGAACAAGGUUAUGGAAAGAAGGAAAAGGAAUCCCCUGGGAUUUCCUUCCAUCUCCCAGCUUGUCCUUGGAUUGCAGGUACCCUGCUGCACCCUCUUUGCAGCCUCUGGCAAGAUGCUGAGGUCGGCUUUGCAAGGGGACGGGGAACGAAGUGGGAACAUCGUGUCCCUUGACAGCCCCAGGCAGCUGACGAGGAGCUUCUGUAAAUCACAGCGGCUGCCAGAGCUGCUCCAACAGCUCACCCCUGCCCAGGAGGCCUCAGAGCAUCCCUGAGGCUCUGUACGUGCACACUCCGUACACCGACAGCCCUGGAUGGGCUCUCCCUGCAUUGUGAUUAACACCCACGGACAGUGCCACCCCGUCCCCAUCACCCCAUCCUCUGCAGCACUCACAGCUGCACAUCCUGGCUGCGCUCCAUCACCUCCCAGCCGUGCCGUGGGAUGCUUAACGCGCGCCUGUAACAAACACAAACGAUUGUGACAGAAGAUACCCGGCGCCUAAUGCUACUCAGCCUCAGGUUAAACCAUCUCCCGUUUGCAGUGCUCCACAUUCAGCGUAGAGCAUCCG